GCCUGCUUCUACUAUUCGUGUAGCAGCAGGAAAAGCAAGUACCAAUUACAUCAGUAAUGCUGACAAAGACAUCAUCAGAUAUUUCAGUUUAGACAAGAAAGCCAGAAAAGCAUACUCCCAGAGGCUCCAAGACCAGCAACAAGCAGAAAGUUUGGCUGAGACUCAGAUAAGGUUAUUUAUCUGCCCUUGCUCACUUCUUUCCUAAGGCCAGGCCUGCCUGUCUCUGUGGUCCUCAGAGUUUAAUCAUCUCACCCAAAUUGCCCAGUUCUCCACCAUGAACUGAUGCUUCUCUCCAGUUUCAGAAGUGGAAGAGGGGUGAAGCAGUCCCACACUGUGAGCAUUCAGAAGCUGCUUGCAAAGAAUUUGGCUUCCAGUUUAUGAAGAUCCAUGACCACUUCAACAUGUUUAAAGGACAUACAUCAAUUUCAUAGGUGGCAUGAGAGGGUUUA